rnacentral:lncRNA from 1 species
GAGCCUUCACUGAGGGAGUGUUGGAGAGGAUAUGAUCUCCUUCCUGGACUCACAGUGAUCUGCUCAGAUCUCCUGGUCCAGCCUGAUAUCUCCCUGACUGACUCAAUGGGAGGGGUCUCCAGGGGCCACCAGGGGCCCGAGAUGUUCAGGGGCUACAACUUCACCAUCACCUGCUCCACUCAGCCACAGUACCCAGGAGGCUCCUUCCUCCUCACGUUCACCGUCUCCAACAGAACCCAGACCCAGCCAGCUGUCAAUCACUCUGCUGCCUUCCUCUUCCCUGCUGCAGAUGACUCCCACCAAGGGAACUACAGAUGUGUUUAUGACAAUUAUGUUUUCUCUCAUAACUUCUCCUCUGAGAGUGAGCUCCUCUCCCUCACCGUCACAGCCUCUCCUCUGCCAGCCUUCAUCAUCAGACACGUUGUAGUGCUGCUGAUCCUACUGACAGCCAUCACCACCUCCUACCUGUACUACAAGCCCACCAGGAGGCAGAAGAGAGUGAACAGGGUGAGCAGCAUGGAUCUUUAUGUCAAUGCCAUGGAGAUGGUCUCUCUGAGCUCCAGAGCUGAAGCUGGACCGGGAGA